rnacentral:rRNA from 1 species
GCUUGUCUCAAAGAUUAAGCCAUGCAUGUCUAAGUAUAAACGAAUUUAUAGUGAAACUGCGAAUGGCUCAUUAUAUCAGUUAUAGUUUAUUUGGCGAUAAAAACUACUUGGAUAACCGUAGUAAUUCUAGAGCUAAUACAUGCACAAAAUCCCGACUUACGAAGGGAUGUAUUUAUUAGAUGGAAACCAAUGCGGGGCAACCCGGAAUAUGGUGAUUCAUAAUAACUUUCGGAUCGUUUACGAUGCAUCAUUCAAGUUUCUGCCCUAUCAGCUUUGGAUGGUAGGGUAUUGGCC